rnacentral:rRNA from 1 species
GAGUUUGAUCAUGGCUCAGGAUGAACGCUAGCUACAGGCUUAACACAUGCAAGUCGAGGGGAAACGACAGUAAAGCUUGCUUUAUUGGGCGUCGACCGGCGCACGGGUGCGUAACGCGUAUCCAACCUGCCCCCAACUCCGGAAUAGUCCCCCGAAAGGGGGGUUAACGCCGGAUGCUGCAAUUUUUCCGCAUGGUGGAAUUGCGAAAUGAAAAAGGUUGGGGCUGGGGAUGCGUCCCAUUAGGUAGUAGGCGGGGUAACGGCCCACCUAGCCGACGAUGGGUAGGGGUUCUGAGAGGAAGGUCCCCCACAUUGGAACUGAGACACGGUCCAAACUCCUACGGGAGGCAGCAGUGAGGAAUAUUGGUCAAUGGGCGAGAGCCUGAACCAGCCAAGUAGCGUGUGGGACGAAUGCCCUAUGGGUUGUAAACCACUUUUGCAGGAGGGUAAAAUGCUUCACGUGUGGAGUAUUGCAAGUAUCCUGCGAAUAAGGACCGGCUAAUUCCGUGCCAGCAGCCGCGGUAC